rnacentral:lncRNA from 1 species
GCCAUUACAAUCUAAACAGCGUGAAAUGUGUCUCAAUAUGAGGCCCACGGUCCCUGCUUUUCACCAGGAAUCACCCGUACAUCUUUUUCUCUAGAAAUUAUCUUAGAAUUUAAAAACUCAAACAAUGAUAUACACAAUACUUGGGAACUUUACAUUACAGAUAGAUAGACAUCCAUACACACACAUUUGCAUUACGCAACUGCUUUACAUUACAGAUAGAUAGACUUCCAUACACACACAUUCGCAUAUGCACACUCCAACCAAACUACUCCUGCACACACACAGAAGCAUGAACAGUCACUGCACACGCGCUUCAGGGUGGGGCCACUUCCGUGCAGAGAAUAUCUAAGGGGCUGGGCACGCUGUUGUACCCAGAGCCAUCUUC